AACGAACGCUGGCGGCAUGCCUAACACAUGCAAGUCGAACGAUCCCUUCGGGGAUAGUGGCGCACGGGUGCGUAACGCGUGGGAAUCUGCCCUUGGGUUCGGAAUAACAGUUAGAAAUGACUGCUAAUACCGGAUGAAGUCUUCGGACCAAAGAUUUAUCGCCCAGGGAUGAGCCCGCGUAGGAUUAGGUAGUUGGUGAGGUAAAGGCUCACCAAGCCGACGAUCCUUAGCUGGUCUGAGAGGAUGAUCAGCCACACUGGGACUGAGACACGGCCCAGACUCCUACGGGAGGCAGCAGUGGGGAAUAUUGGACAAUGGGCGCAAGCCUGAUCCAGCAACGCCGCGUGAGUGAUGAAGGCCUUCGGGUCGUAAAGCUCUUUUACCCGGGAUGAUAAUGACAGUACCGGGAGAAUAAGCUCCGGCUAACUCCGUGCCAGCCGCCGCGGUAAUAC
rnacentral:rRNA from 1 species